CCUACGGGAGGCUGCAGUGGGGAAUAUUGGACAAUGGGGGCAACCCUGAUCCAGCCAUGCCGCGUGUGUGAAGAAGGCCCUCGGGUUGUAAAGCACUUUCAGUGAGGAAGAACGCCUGGUGGUUAAUACCCAUCAGGAAAGACAUCACUCACAGAAGAAGCACCGGCUAACUCCGUACCAGCAGCCGCGGUAAUACGGAGGGUGCGAGCGUUAAUCGGAAUUACUGGGCGUAAAGCGCGCGUAGGUGGCUUGAUAAGCCGGUUGUGAAAGCCCCGGGCUCAACCUGGGAACGGCAUCCGGAACUGUCAAGCUAGAGUGCAGGAGAGGAAGGUAGAAUUCCCGGUGUAGCGGUGAAAUGCGUAGAGAUCGGGAGGAAUACCAGUGGCGAAGGCGGCCUUCUGGACUGACACUGACACUGAGGUGCGAAAGCGUGGGUAGCAAACAGGAUUAGAUACCCCAGUAGUC
rnacentral:rRNA from 1 species